GACUUAGGCCUUCACAGGCCACGAGGAAACGGAAAG
rnacentral:rRNA from 1 species